rnacentral:rRNA from 1 species
GCAUAUCAAUAAGCGGAGGAAAAGAAAAUAACAAUGAUUUCCUUAGUAACGGCGAGUGAACAGGAAAGAGCUCAAAGUUGGAACCCGUUUGGUUUAGCCAAACUGGAUUGUAAACUGUAGAAGUGUUUUCCUGGCACGCCUGAUGAAAAAGUCCAUUGGAACAUGGUGACAUAGAGGGUGAGAGCCCCGUAUUUCGUCAGAGCUGUUGUCUUUUGUGAUACACUUUCAAAGAGUCAGGUUGUUUGGGAAUGCAGCCUAAAUUGGGUGGUAAAUCUCACCUAAAGCUAAAUAUUGGCAAAAGACCGAUAGCGAACAAGUACCGUGAGGGAAAGAUGAAAAGAACUUUGAAAAGAGAGUUAAACAGUAUGUGAAAUUGUUAAAAGGGAACCGUUUGGAGCCAGACUGGCUUGAUUGUAAUCAAUCUAGAUUUCGAUCUGGAUGCACUUGCAGUCUAUGCCUGCCAACGACAAUUCAUUCUGGAGGAAAAAACUAGGAGGAAUGUGGCCCCUCGGGGUGUUAUAGCCUCUUAGAAAAUACUCUGGGUUGGAUUGAGGAACGCAGUGGAUGCUAUUUGGCGAAGUUGCUGAGUGCUUUUACUGGUACGUGCUAGAAUUUCUGCUUCGGGUGGUGCUAGUAUUUACCGGUGAAACUCGCUUGGUAAUCUUUUUAUCCGCUUAGGUUGUUGGCUUAAUGACUCUAAAUGACCCGUCU